AAAAGAGUGAUCCAACCGCUGAGUUGGAAAGAUUGAUACAAGCAACUAAGCAAGUAGGGUUGCUAGCAGCUACCACAUCUUUCUAUACUUCAAAAACUUCCCAAUUGAUUGUUCCAUUCAUCAUAAGUAAGGAAGCAGGAUGUGAUGAUUGGAUUUUGAUAAUUCAUGGAUGACAGACUCACAAAUUAUAUUAGUGAUCGUUUCUUAAAAUUCAUAGAGGAUUUAGUACUCAGAGAUGCAGUUAGGUGCACAGAAAAUUUUGAGGCCACUCCAUUGGUUACCUCAUCAGCACACAGUUCAAAAGCACAUCUUUGCAACCUCCUCAAGUUGGAAGUGAUAACCAUGAAAUCUGUGGAACAAGAGACAUUAACAAUAAUAGUGAACUGCUUCUAGAUACUGUAAUUCACCAUGUUGUAUAUAUUUUUAGUGUACUUUCUUGUGUUAAAUAAGUUUUUCU